rnacentral:sRNA from 1 species
GUCACGGAAACGUUAGCCAAACCAUAAUCAUGCCAAAUUUCGGCCAACCCCGCGCCGCCCUGGCUUGCGAUACAACAAUCUCUGCGUUGGCCCGGUUCUUCUGGUCCUGGAUUCCUCAGCCCCCAGCCCCCCGGGAUUGAAAGGACCGGGCCUGUUUCGCAGAGAGACGAACCUCCGAAGACAAACAGGCCAACGCAAGUUGGCCUUUUU